rnacentral:ncRNA from 1 species
UUUAAAUUGUAUUAAAAAUAUUGUAAAAAAUUAAUAAAUUUAAUUAUAGUUUUGAAAUUAAUUUUAAAAUUUUUAUAUAUAUAAAUAUUAAAAAUAUUAAAUAUUUUAUAAAGUAGUGUAUAAAUUUAAUAAAAUUAAAAAUAUUUAAUUUUAGGAAUUUUUAUAAUUUGGAUAAAUAAUUGUGCCAGCAAUCGUGGUUAAACAAUUUAAAUUAAUUAAUUAGUUUAAAUUAAAAUUAAAUGAGUUUUUAUAAUUAAAAUUUAAAUUGUUAGGUGAAAUUAAUUAAUUUUUAAUUUUUAUAGAAUUUAAUAAAUUGAAUUUUUAAAGGAUUUUUAAAAAACUAGGAUUAGAUACCCUAUUAUAUAAUUUAAAAAAUGUAAUUUUAAUAUUAAAUGUUAAAUCAUUAAAUUUAAAUAAUUUGGCGGUAUUUUAAUUUUAUUAGAGGAAUUUGUUAAUUAAUUGAUAUUACUCGAUAAGGUAAACUUUAAUUUAAUUUUUAUAUUGUUGUUUUAAGAAUAUUUUUGAAAAAAUUGUUUAAAAUUUUAUUUUAAAAAUUAAUUCAGAUCAAAAUGGAGUGUAUAUUAAAGAGUUAAUGAAUUACAAUAAAUUUAAUUUAUAUGAAUUUAUAAUUUUAAAAUUAUAAUGAAGGUGGAUUUAAAAGUAAAAUAAAAUAAUUAUUUUAUUUGAUUAAAAUUUUAAUUUAUGUACAAAUUGCCCGUCGUUCUCUUUGAAAAAGGAGGUAAGUCGUAACAAAGUAAAAGUACUGGAAAGUGUUUUUAGAUA